GAUGAACGCUGGCGGCGUGCUUAACACAUGCAAGUCGAACGGGAAUUCUUUUAUUGAAACUUCGGUCGAUUUAAUUUAAUUCUAGUGGCGGACGGGUGAGUAACGCGUGGGUAACCUGCCUUAUACAGGGGGAUAACAGUCAGAAAUGGCUGCUAAUACCGCAUAAGCGCACAGAGCUGCAUGGCUCAGUGUGAAAAACUCCUGUGGUAUAAGAUGGACCCGCGUUGGAUUAGCUGGUUGGUGGGGUAACGGCCCACCAAGGCGACGAUCCAUAGCCGGCAUGGGAGGGUGAACGGCCACAUUGGGACUGAGACACGGCCCAGACUCCUACGGGAGGCAGCAGUGGGGAAUAUUGCACAAUGGGGGAAACCCUGAUGCAGCGACGCCGCGUGAAGGAAGAAGUAUCUCGGUAUGUAAACUUCUAUCAGCAGGGAAGAUAGUGACGGUACCUGACUAAGAAGCCCCGGCUAACUACGUG
rnacentral:rRNA from 1 species